rnacentral:rRNA from 1 species
AGAGUUUGAUCCUGGCUCAGGACGAACGCUGGCGGCGUGCUUAACACAUGCAAGUCGAACGAUGAACCACUUCGGUGGGGAUUAGUGGCGAACGGGUGAGUAACACGUGGGCAAUCUGCCCUGCACUCUGGGACAAGCCCUGGAAACGGGGUCUAAUACCGGAUACUGACCCGCUUGGGCAUCCAAGCGGUUCGAAAGCUCCGGCGGUGCAGGAUGAGCCCGCGGCCUAUCAGCUUGUUGGUGAGGUAAUGGCUCACCAAGGCGACGACGGGUAGCCGGCCUGAGAGGGCGACCGGCCACACUGGGACUGAGACACGGCCCAGACUCCUACGGGAGGCAGCAGUGGGGAAUAUUGCACAAUGGGCGAAAGCCUGAUGCAGCGACGCCGCGUGAGGGAUGACGGCCUUCGGGUUGUAAACCUCUUUCAGCAGGGAAGAAGCGAAAGUGACGGUACCUGCAGAAGAAGCGCCGGCUAACUACGUGCCAGCAGCCGCGGUAAUACGUAGGGCGCGAGCGUUGUCCGGAAUUAUUGGGCGUAAAGAGCUCGUAGGCGGCUUGUCACGUCGGUUGUGAAAGCCCGGGGCUUAACCCCGGGUCUGCAGUCGAUACGGGCAGGCUAGAGUUCGGUAGGGGAGAUCGGAAUUCCUGGUGUAGCGGUGAAAUGCGCAGAUAUCAGGAGGAACACCGGUGGCGAAGGCGGAUCUCUGGGCCGAUACUGACGCUGAGGAGCGAAAGCGUGGGGAGCGAACAGGAUUAGAUACCCUGGUAGUCCACGCCGU